UACGUAGGUGGCGAGCGUUGUCCGGAAUCAUUGGGCGUAAAGCGCGCGUAGGCGGCUUGUCAGGUCUGAUGUGAAACCUUGGGGCUUAACUCCAAGCGUGCAUCGGAAACCGGCUUGCUAGAGUCUGGGAGAGGGAAGUGGAAUUCCUGGUGUAGCGGUGAAAUGCGUAGAUAUCAGGAGGAACACCAGUUGCGAAGGCGGCUUCCUGGAACAGUACUGACGCUGAGGCGCGAAAGCUAGGGGAGCGAACAGG
rnacentral:rRNA from 1 species